ACUGCUUUCAGUUCAGCUAUGUUCAUUUCAUUGUUGCUGCUGCUGGCAGCUUUAUCCUAUGUGGAAUGUGCAGUAGAACUCACUCAGGUCUCCUCAGUGAUGUUAAAGCCAGGAGAUUCUUUAACCCUCAGCUGUAAAGUAUCUGGUUACUCUGUUACUGAUAACAGCUACGCCACAGCUUCGGUUCGACAACCUGCAGGGAAAACUCUGGAAUGGAUAAACCACAUUUGGGGUGGUGGUACAAAUUAUCAUAAAGAGUCUCUGAAAAGCAAGUUCAGUAUUUCUAAAGACGGCUCCAGCAGCACAGUGACUCUGAGAGGACAGAACAUGCAGACUGAAGACACAGCUGUGUAUUACUGCGCUCGUUACCCCCACAGUGAUACACAUCACCAACAUCCCUGUACAAAAACAUCCUGUACAGAAAACUGUUAAUUUAUUAAAUUUUACACAAAAGUCUACAUAAAAUGUGUGAAUAUAAUUCAGCUUUAAACUAAAGGUUCUCAACA